AACGAACGCUGGCGGCAUGCCUAACACAUGCAAGUCGAACGAGACCUUCGGGUCUAGUGGCGCACGGGUGCGUAACGCGUGGGAACCUGCCCUUAGGUUCGGAAUAACUCCCCGAAAGGGGUGCUAAUACCGGAUAAUGUCGUCGGACCAAAGAUUUAUCGCCUUUGGAUGGGCCCGCGUUGGAUUAGCUAGUUGGUAGGGUAAAAGCCUACCAAGGCGACGAUCCAUAGCUGGUCUGAGAGGAUGAUCAGCCACACUGGGACUGAGACACGGCCCAGACUCCUACGGGAGGCAGCAGUGGGGAAUAUUGGACAAUGGGCGAAAGCCUGAUCCAGCAAUGCCGCGUGAGUGAUGAAGGCCUUAGGGUUGUAAAGCUCUUUUACCCGGGAUGAUAAUGACAGUACCGGGAGAAUAAGCCCCGGCUAACUCCGUG
rnacentral:rRNA from 1 species